rnacentral:ncRNA from 1 species
UGUGGUAGAGGACGCGGAGAUCAAGAGUAGCGCACCUGAUGAACCUUAAUUCGUGUGAGGGUAUGUGAAAGGGUGAUCCGCCGAAGUUUGGAAGAGUUUAAGGAACUUCCAUGCUGGGAUCGUGGUCAAUAGUCACGGAACUGUCGUCAAAGGUUUUUGAUGGAGCGCUAUCGGU